GAUGAACGCUAGCGGCAGGCUUAAUACAUGCAAGUCGAGGGGCAGCAUGACUGUAGCAAUACAGUUGAUGGCGACCGGCAAACGGGUGCGGAACACGUACAGAACCUUCCUUCGAGCGGGGUAUAGCCCAGAGAAAUUUGGAUUAAUACCCCAUAGUACAACGGAGCGGCAUCACUUUGUUGUUAAAGAUUUAUCACUUGAAGAUGGCUGUGCGGCUGAUUAGGUAGUUGGCGGGGUAACGGCCCACCAAGCCUGCGAUCAGUAACUGGUGUGAGAGCACGACCAGUCACACGGGCACUGAGACACGGGCCCGACUCCUACGGGAGGCAGCAGUAAGGAAUAUUGGUCAAUGGACGAAAGUCUGAACCAGCCAUGCCGCGUGGAGGAUGAAGGUCCUCUGGAUUGUAAACUUCUUUUAUAUGGGACGAAAAAAGGGUUUUCUAACUCGUCUGACGGUACCAUAUGAAUAAGCACCGGCUAACUCCGUGCCAGCCGCCGCAGUAACAC
rnacentral:rRNA from 1 species